AUACGGAGGAUCCGAGCGUUAUCCGGAUUUAUUGGGUUUAAAGGGUGCGCAGGCGGCCAUUUAAGUCAGCGGUUAAAUCGUGGGGCUCAACCCCAUUCUGCCGUUGAUACUGGGUGGCUUGAUUGCGGUCGAGGUUGGCGGAAUUCGUUGUGGAGCGGGGAAAUGCAUAGAUAUGAUGAAGAACACCGAUUGCGUAGGCAGCUGACCAGACCGCAAAUGACGCUCAUGCACGAAAGUGCGGGGAUCGAACAGGAUUAGAUACCCUGGUAGUCCGCACAGUAAACGAUGAAUACUUGUUUUCGGCGAUAUAAUGUCGGAGGCAAAGCGAAAGCGAUAAGUAUUCCACCUGGGGAGUACGCCGGCAACGGUGAAACUCAAAGGAAUUGACGGGG
rnacentral:rRNA from 1 species